rnacentral:rRNA from 1 species
CGGGGNCCCCGCACAANCNGUGGAAGCAUNUGNUUUUAAAUUCGAAGCAACNCGAAGANCCUUACCAGGUCUUGACAUCCUUUGACCACUNUGNAGACAGAGCUUUNCCCUUCGGGGGCAAAGUGACAGGUGGUGCAUNGUUGUCGUCAGCUCGUGUCGUGAGAUGUUGGGUUAAGUCCCGCAACGAGCGCAACCCUUGACNUUAGUUGCCAGCAUUUAGUUGGGCACUCUAAGGUGACUGCCGGUGACAAACCGGAGGAAGGUGGGGAUGACGUCAAAUCAUCAUGCCCCUUAUGACCUGGGCUACACACGUGCUACAAUGGAUGGUACAAAGGGUUGCGAAGCCGCGAGGUGAAGCCAAUCCCAUAAAGCCAUUCUCAGUUCGGAUUGUAGGCUGCAACUCGCCUGCAUGAAGCUGGAAUUGCUAGUAAUCGCGGAUCAGCAUGCCGCGGUGAAUACGUUCCCGGGCCUUGUACACACCGCCCGUCACACCACGAGAGUUUGUAACACCCGAAGUCGGUGAGGUAACCUUUUGGAGCCAGCCGUUUAUU